UUCUGAGAAUCAGAGAGUAAAUGGUGGUUCCCAUUCUACUGGUAAGAGGAAGAAACUGAGUUGCUAAUCAACAGGCAUAAAGUCUCUUUUUAUGUAAGAUGAGUAAGUUCUAGAGCUCUGUUGCUACAACUGACAGAAUUUAGUAACUGGAUUCUGGAAAAAGCAGGAUAAAGAAUAAUGCUUUAGUUACUGCUCAGAUAACUAGGUAAGGAAUAAGAGUUUGAAGCUGCUUGGAAGCAAUGACAUUUGUGAAGUCCUGAACAAGAAGAGAGAUUUCCAUACACAAAGAAAGAGAGCAGGUGGAGCGUCUGGGAAAGUGAAGAACAUACCUAAACAGUAUAGAAGCAUGAAGUGAAAAGUUCCAGGGCUGUCAAACAAUCCAGAGUAGUAGCUUUAGUUUGUAUGGGAGAGAAAAUGUGCAAGGAAGAAACUUACACUAAUAUUCCAGUGCCAGGUCUUGGAGAGUCUUGAAUACCAGGCUAGAUUUUUAUAGCUUUCUCUGCCAGGUGUGGAACAUAAUGAUGUUUGUAUACAUUGUGAUGAUCAUCACCAGAUGACUUGUCACUGAAAAGCUACACAUCCUCUUAAGAUGGGGCACCCACAGUUGUACUACCAGGAUAGGCCAACACAGAAUGUGGCCCUCCAACUUGCACAGAUUUCCAAAAGGAGAUAUUUUGUCAUCUAAAAACAACUAUCAAGGUUCCAGAGACAUGAUUGGUCAGGAACUGAGCCAACUGGCAAAGUAUCUGACAAAACCCAACUGCUGGAGAUUCUCAAGUUACAGGAGACAAGGUCUUCUUGGAUAUGCUCACCGACCUGCAUGCAGUAAAAUCAAAAUAGAAUCUGCAGGCACUGUCAGGGUGAUAUGACAUGCAUCCAGAUAUUUUUUCCCCUUUUAUUUUUAGGCUGAAAGUUUAGUCCUCUUUUUUUUUUUUUUGGCAGUUUUUAGAGCCAUGUGACUGGCACAAUUCUGGCAAGUGCUAUAAAUGCAAAGAGAUUGUGCCUAAGGGAAAACUGCCAUCAUGUAACACUAGGACUAAAUAUUUGUACUCUUUCUUGGGGCUUUUAAAGGUGGGUGCCAUUUCUUAGAGUUAAGAAACUGCUUUAAUUAUUGAGACAUAAAAUCGAGGGAAAAACACAGUUUUAAUGGAAUUUGUAUUUAAACACAACAGGAAUGCACAGUAACAUUCACUAGCAUUAAAGAGAGGUGGGUAUUAUUAAUUUUGUUCCACUUAGAUUCAGUUAUAUUCAGUUUAACAAAUGCUACAAGUACAAUGUAAAUUGCAUUUCUUCUUAAGUAGAAAUACUAUCCUAUGAUGAAACUAGAGAUUGAGAAGUAAAACAUUUAAUUCAUUCAUUAUUUUAGUUAUUCAUUAAUUCAACAAAUAUUUGUUGAGCAUGGAACCUGGAACUAAAGUUGAGGUAUAGAUCAGGUAGCUGCCACCUAAAAGCUCUAUGCUUUUACUUUUUAUCAUUAAUAGUAUUACACCACAAUUAGGCAAUUUUAUAGAUACUUGGAAGACAGCAGGAACACUGUCUCAUGGAGCUUGAAAUCAAGAUAGUUCUGUUUCCUCUUUUGUGGUUGAACUACUAGCUAACAUUCAUGUGGCUAUUAAUCAACCUGCUACGUUAUCCCUUUGUCUUCUCUAUUUAUCAUCUUAUUUGUUACUAUGGACUGUGAAUCCAGUUGAGCAAGCUAAUUAAAAAUAUGUCUAAAGCGAAAAUCAACAAACUUAAAUUGAGAAUAUUGGAGGUGCUGCAGGACCUCAGAAGAGACAUGGUGCUUAUUCUUUCAGGAGCUGAGUUGACAAGAAACAGGUAGGAAACAAUUAGGUAUUGAUAUGAGAUCAUUUCUUGGGCUCAAAAUAAAACACCUUGAAACCUGUAGGCAGUGUUAAA